UACGGGGGGAGCAAGCGUUGUUCGGAUUUACUGGGCGUAAAGGGCGCGUAGGCGGUCAGCACAAGUCAGUUGUGAAAUCUCCGGGCUUAACCCGGAAAGGUCAGCCGAUACUGCGGGGCUAGAGUGCAGAAGGGGCAACUGGAAUUCUCGGUGUAGCGGUGAAAUGCGUAGAUAUCGAGAGGAACACCUGCGGCGAAGGCGGGUUGCUGGGCUGACACUGACGCUGAUGCGCGAAAGC
rnacentral:rRNA from 1 species